AACAAUGUGUUGAAGAGGAUUAGUAGGUCUUUCCUGUGAAACAGAGAGUAAGACCCUUGGCUGUAAGGCUUACCACAAGGGAUUCCGAACCCACCUCGGAGCGGCUAGGGACUUUUUUAACCUAGACAGGGAUCUUCUGCCUGUUAUCAAGAAGAAAGUGGGCUUAAUAGCCAAUCAAGGUGGUACCACGGAAGAAAACUCUUUCGUCCUUAUU
rnacentral:ncRNA from 1 species